UACGUAGGAGACGAGCGUUGUCCGGAGUUACUGGGCGUAAAGGGUGCGCAGGUGGCGGCGCGCGUGGGGGGUGAAAUACGCCGGCUAACUGGGCGGGGGCCUUCCAGACGGCGUGGCUUGAGCAGCGGAGGGGGACGUGGAAUUCCGGGUGGAGCGGUGAAAUGCGUAGAGAUCCGGAGGAACACCGACGGCGAAGGCAGUGUCCUGGGGAGUACCUGACGCUCAGGUGCGAAAGCCAGGGGAGCGAACGGG
rnacentral:rRNA from 1 species